rnacentral:lncRNA from 1 species
AGAAAUUUCAACUUUCCCAAGAUCAUGGCACUGGAUUCUCCAAAGCCCAUGUGUCCGCACUAAGUGGUCUGGGUGUUGGAUAAACUGUCCUGAUGGAAAGAUUCAGGAAUUCAAGCCCAGAGGUGAGAUUCUGUGCCCAGACACAGCAUUCCAGGAAUGGUCAGCACCCAGGACAUGGAAGAUAAAGAACAGUGGGGAUCCAGGUAGUGACUGAACCCUAUGGAGAUAGGAUGGCAGGACCCAGUCCUUAAAGGGGACUGCAGGUUCACCGACGGAAGGGGCUGCGAAGAUACUAAAGCACAUCGGCUCUUAGGACAAACCAAGGUCAGUGCUCUCCUGUUAGAAGGCAGAUUAUGUCCUGAAAAC